CGGGAAUAUUGCGCAAUGGAGGAAACUCUGACGCAGUGACGCCGCGUAUAGGAAGAAGGUUUUCGGAUUGUAAACUAUUGUCGUUAGGGAAGAUAAAAGACUGUACCUAAGGAGGAAGCCCCGGCUAACUAC
rnacentral:rRNA from 1 species